rnacentral:rRNA from 1 species
ACUCCUACGGGAGGCAGCAGUGGGGAAUUUUGGACAAUGGGCGCAAGCCUGAUCCAGCAAUGCCGCGUGAGUGAAGAAGGCCUUCGGGUUGUAAAGCUCUUUCAGUUGAGAAGAAAAGAUUGUGACUAAUAAUUGCAAUUCAUGACGGUAUCAACAGAAGAAGCACCGGCUAACUAC